UACGUAGGGGGCUAGCGUUGUCCGGAAUCAUUGGGCGUAAAGAGCGUGUAGGCGGCCCGGUAAGUCCGCUGUAAAAGUCAAAGGCUCAACCUUUGAAUGUCAGUGGAUGCUGCCGGGCUAGAGUCCGGAAGAGGCGAGUGGAACUCCUGGUGUAGCGGUGGAAUGCGCAGAUAUCAGGAAGAACACCAACGGCGAAGGCAGCUCGCUGGGACGGUACUGACGCUGAGACGCGAAAGCGUGGGGAGCGAACAGG
rnacentral:rRNA from 1 species